CAGGGGUUAAAAACCCAGAUCACAGUAAAGUACCGUGACCCGUAUUCUGAUAAAGCGGGUGAAGGGUAAUAUUGGGGUUUAUAGUAAAAUGGGUUUCAUUUUAUUAAUACAAUUCAAUCACUUGCAGCACACGUAAGUAACUCUCCGAUCGGUUUUCUCCACUUCAUACCUAGGUAGAUCAACAGUAAUGAGACUGAUGUGACUGGUUGUCACAGCGAUCGCUGAGACCGCACCGUUACUGUUGCAGAUCUGCCUAUAACAUCAAAGCACUCAGCAAUAGCUUUAACCCCAUGAUUGGUGCAAUUGGGGCAUUUUGGCCAUAAUUUUAGUACAGGACGGAAUUGUUCUGUCAUGGGUGGUCUUGGCACAGACUGCCAUGACGGAAUCAUUUUGUCAUUGGUCCUAACGGGGUUAACCUCUCACAUAUUCUGC